rnacentral:lncRNA from 1 species
GCAGCCCCGGCCCUCUAGAGGCCUACGGAGGCGUGCGGGGGAAGUUAGCUUGCGCCUGUCUCGUCAGCCGUGCACGACAAAAAAAGGACCUUCGAGAAGAACAAGGGAGGGCAAGAGUUACCGAGUACAGGGACAUCUAUGUGGCCGCUCUGCUUUCCCGCCGUCACCUGCUGUUGAACUCCGGCCGCAUCGCGGUGUCCGGAGCCGCCUGGCCUGGAGUAUGCGCUGAGCGUCACCUAGGCAACCACCCCUGCACCUGUGGAUCAGGGUCUCGCUCUGUUGCCAAGGGUGGAAUGCAGUGUGGGG